UACGUAGGGUGCAAGCGUUAAUCGGAAUUACUGGGCGUAAAGCGUGCGCAGGCGGCUUUGCAAGACAGAUGUGAAAUCCCCGGGCUUAACCUGGGAACUGCAUUUGUGACUGCAUGGCUUGAGUGCGGUAGAGGGGGAUGGAAUUCCGCGUGUAGCAGUGAAAUGCGUAGAUAUGCGGAGGAACACCGAUGGCGAAGGCAGUCCCCUGGACCUGUACUGACGCUCAUGCACGAAAGCGUGGGGAGCAAACAGG
rnacentral:rRNA from 1 species